AUUCCUUGCUUUGUUGUUGUGUAUGGAGUUUGGUUCUCCAGUUAGGUUUACUUAUUAUGUUGCUUUUACUUGUUUUGAUUAUAAUCAGAGGAGGUUUGUUGGGCUUGUAAAGCCUGAUUCGGUUUGGGUUGCCCAUUCGCGGACUAUUUGUAGCCGCCAAUGUUUUUUUUUUUUUUUGAUAAGAUUUCCAGGGAGUCAAUCCCUUUACAGAAACAACUUACUACAGAAACGAAGCAAAAACAACCACUUAUCAAACUAGAACUCCUAACUAUACAACCUCCAUGACUCUGUUAGACAGUCCCCAAAUCGCACAAAUAUUCUUAUUUUGACUGGAUAGUUUCAUAUGUCUCCUUGAGCUGAGAAAAUCCCGAAUUGUAGCUUCAAUCCCAUUAGCCACUUGGGUAUACCCUUUUGCCAUUGCUCAGAAGAUUCUGGAAUUCCGUUCCUGCCACAACCC